GAUGAACGCUGGCGGCGUGCCUAAUACAUGCAAGUCGAGCGAACGGACGAGAAGCUUGCUUUUCUGAUGUUAGCGGCGGACGGGUGAGUAACACGUGGAUAACCUACCUAUAAGACUGGGAUAACUUCGGGAAACCGGAGCUAAUACCGGAUAAUAUUUUGAACCGCAUGGUUCAAAAGUGAAAGACGGUCUUGCUGUCACUUAUAGAUGGAUCCGCGCUGCAUUAGCUAGUUGGUAAGGUAACGGCUUACCGAGGCAACGAUGCAUAGCCGACCUGAGAGGGUGAUCGGCCACACUGGAACUGAGACACGGUCCAGACUCCUACGGGAGGCAGCAGUAGGGAAUCUUCCGCAAUGGGCGAAAGCCUGACGGAGCAACGCCGCGUGAGUGAUGAAGGUCUUCGGAUCGUAAAACUCUGUUAUUAGGGAAGAACAUAUGUGUAAGUAACUGUGCACAUCUUGACGGUACCUAAUCAGAAAGCCACGGCUAACUACGUG
rnacentral:rRNA from 1 species